GUAGUUGUGGCCGAGUGGUUAAAGCGAUGGAAUGAAAUCAUUGGGGUCUCCAGCGCAGGUUCGACUCCUGCCAACUCG